GCCUACGGGACGCAGCAGUGAGGAAUAUUGGUCAAUGGUCGGGAGACUGAACCAGCCAAGCCGCGUGAGGGAUGAAGGUACAGAGUAUCGUAAACCUCUUUUGUCAGGGAACAAAGGCGGGGACGUGUCCCCGGAUGAGUGUACCUGAAGAAAAAGCAUCGGCUAACUCCGUGCCAGCAGCCGCGGUAAUACAUAGGGAGCAAGCGUUAUCCGGAUUUAUUGGGUGUAAAGGGUGCGUAGACGGGAAAUUAAGUUAGUUGUGAAAUCCCUCGGCUUAACUGAGGAACUGCAACUAAAACUGAUUU
rnacentral:rRNA from 1 species